GUGGGGAAUCUUGCGCAAUGGGCGAAAGCCUGACGCAGCCAUGCCGCGUGAAUGAUGAAGGUCUUAGGAUUGUAAAAUUCUUUCACCGGGGACGAUAAUGACGGUACCCGGAGAAGAAGCUCCGGCUAACUUCGUGCCAGCAGCCGCGGUAAUACGAAGGGGGCUAGCGUUGCUCGGAAUUACUGGGCGUAAAGGGCGCGUAGGCGGACAGCUUAGUCAGAGGUGAAAGCCCAGGGCUCAACCUUGGAAUUGCCUUUGAUACUGGCUGUCUUGAGUUUGGGAGAGGUGAGUGGAACUCCGAGUGUAGAGGUGAAAUUCGUAGAUAUUCGGAAGAACACCAGUGGCGAAGGCGACUCACUGGCUCGAUACUGACGCUGAGGUGCGAAAGCGUGGGGAGCAAACAGGAUUAGAAACCCUUGUAGUCC
rnacentral:rRNA from 1 species